rnacentral:misc_RNA from 1 species
GGUGAAGAACGUAGUGAAAUGCGAUAAGUAGUGUGAAUUGCAGAAUUCAGUGAAUCAUCGAAUCUUUGAACGCACAUUGCGCCCCUUGGUAUUCCAUGGGGCAUGCCUGUUCGAGCGUCAUUUGUACCCUCAAGCUUUGCUUGGUGUUGGGUGUUUGUCCCGCGUUGCGCGUGGACUCGCCUUAAAGCGAUUGGCAGCCGGCAUAUUGGCCUUGGAGCGCAGCACAUUUUGCGCUUCUAGUCAUGAAUGUUGGCGUCCAUUAAGCCUAUACAUUUGCUCUUGACCUCGGAUCAGGUAGGGAUACCCGCUGAACUUAAGCAUAUCAAUAAGCGGAGGA